CUUCUGCCUUUUAUUUCUGCUGUGUUCAUAGAUUCCAGAAGGACUUAAUGUAUGGACUUCAAGUCACGGAGGUAGCAGUAGAGAAGUGCUGCUUUAUGGUGUUAUUGUAUGUAUGUGCUGAGGUAGCUGGUGUCAUCUGGGAUGUUUGGAGGGAGACCUAGCAGAGUUUAGUGGGUGUCAUCGGGCAGUGACACCAAUGAGCUGUGGGAUUUAGGCCCCUUUUUGAAAAUUGAGAUUUUAAGGACUUUGAGACAAAAGAUGCAGAAGUGAAGUUUGAAGUGUAGCAUGUUGUUUCCAUUCUGAAAAGUGUUUUCCUUGUGUGUACCUGGAUCAGCCUUGGAGUCUCUUUCACUCUAGCUCUUUUUAUAUUGCAUCGUAAAGACUGUCCUGUCUGGUGUAGGCUUGUUGCAUUGCUCCCACCGCACAAGUUUAUUUUGAGAUGUUGUUCCAGACAAGAUGCAAGAUCAACUUUUAAAGAUUGUGCAGUCACUGCCUGCUGGGGAGGUUGACUGCCUCCCCUGCCACUAAGAGGAAAGUACAGGCCCAGGUUCAAGCAGAUGAAGUGACUUAUAUGUCUACUCUUUCUGCAUGAGGAGUCCUUUCCUGUGCCCUACGCACGUGUGUCCUUCUGUUUGCAACACCGAGAAGGUUCCCACCAAACCUCCAAGGGAUGCAUCAGGCAGGCCAGCUACACAGUCGACAGACCUUACUGAAAUGGUAAACUUUUCACUGUGAUGGAAUGAGGACUGGGCUAUAGGAACAACCUGGAGCUGCUGUGAAGUUUAGUAGAGCAGCAGACAGCAGACAAAUAUUUUAAAGGGCUGUUGUGGUCAUAGAUUUCAUAUUCUGCUUACUAUCCUUACUGUAUCACAUUUUGAGUUUCUUAUGUAGCUCUCAAAAUGAACUAAUACAUAUGCAUUGAAAUUCAGCAUGUGUACUAUCCUCUAGAAAUAAAUCAAGAUCAACCUGUAAAUUCCCGGUUUCUGUCAUUUGUGGCUGGUUGCCAUGUGGAUGAAAAGGAGCUGGCUGAGCUGCUGACUGCAUAAGGCUUGAUACGGUUUGAGGAUAACGAUAAAAGAAAAUUACUUUCCUAGUCUGUUGAAGAACAUGUACCCCAGUGACACCAUGUGUGGAUUUUUUUGCUCUUGUUAUUCUUUUGGCUUAGUGGCUAUUUCUAUAUGCAUAAAAAAAAAAAAAAAAAACAAAAAAACAAAAAAAAAAAAACCAAAACACUAAA